GACGAACGCUGGCGGCGUGCUUAACACAUGCAAGUCGAACGGAAAGGCUCCAGCUUGCUGGAGUACUCGAGUGGCGAACGGGUGAGUAACACGUGGGUAAUCUGCCCUGCACUCUGGGAUAAGCCUGGGAAACUGGGUCUAAUACUGGAUAUGACCUUUCUCCUUAUGGGGUUUGGUGGAAAGUUUUUCGGUGUAGGACGAGCCCGCGGCCUAUCAGCUUGUUGGUGGGGUGAUGGCCUACCAAGGCGACGACGGGUAGCCGGCCUGAGAGGGUGAUCGGCCACAUUGGGACUGAGAUACGGCCCAGACUCCUACGGGAGGCAGCAGUGGGGAAUAUUGCACAAUGGGCGGAAGCCUGAUGCAGCGACGCCGCGUGAGGGAUGACGGCCUUCGGGUUGUAAACCUCUUUCAGCAGGGACGAAGCGUAAGUGACGGUACCUGCAGAAGAAGCACCGGCUAACUAUGUG
rnacentral:rRNA from 1 species